rnacentral:rRNA from 1 species
AGCGCAGGCGGUUUGAUAAGUCUGAAGUUAAAGGCUGUGGCUCAACCAUAGUUCGCUUUGGAAACUGUCAAACUUGAGUGCAGAAGGGGAGAGUGGAAUUCCAUGUGUAGCGGUGAAAUGCGUAGAUAUAUGGAGGAACACCGGUGGCGAAAGCGGCUCUCUGGUCUGUGACUGACGCUGAGGCUGAAAGCUGGGGAGCGAACA